AGAUGCUGACAUUUCCCAUCACUGGUUACUGUACAAACUAGCCUCCUGGUACAUGCAGGCAUUAACAGGUGGCACUGGACAGGCGGCCUGGGGCUAUUCAUACUGACACAAUCUAGUUUCUGGGCCCUCAAGGUCAAGCCAUCCCCGGGGACCUGAGAGCCCACCUUCCAUCCCCAUCAGCUUCCUGUUCCAGAGUUGCACUGCUGCCCUUUACCUGUGCCACACUCAUCCCCAAAGAGAGAACAUGUCUAGCUCCAGCACUCCAACAACAUCCUGGGGCAAUGGAAACAAGCCUGGAAGGCAGGGGGGUGUUCUGGAGCAAGCGGGGGAUGAACCAAGUUCCUACCGAAGGGAGAGGGGGAUCUGGCACCAGAGAAGCAAAGCUGACAGGAGAUGGGGACAUGCCCACCAGGGUGCCCUCUGACCUGCUGCCUCCACUCUGUGUGUGUGCAGAAAAUGACCAAACACUGCUGAAAAAACAACACUGGUUUUACUGUUUCUUCUGGUCUAUUAAAUUAGCUAUUCUGA